AAGGUCGGGCUUCCGUCAUUUAGAAGACACAGGUUGUGGCCUGAUGCAAAGGAUACUAGUGACCUGCCCCUUGAAUUUAUCCUGGAGCUUCCCCAUAUAUGGUGGUGAGCGUUGAAGUCCCCUGUUAUUAUCCAAGGACCGGGAGUAGCAGCCAUAAUAUCUUCCAGUCUUUUUCUAUCAAACUGACUUGUUGGGGAAAGGUAGACGCCAAUAAGAGUAAAAGACAGCCUCUUCUUUUUCACAGUAACACAGACAUAUUGGUUACCGUCGUGUGGCGCUACGGGUUGGGAAAAAUACGUAAGGUCCUUGCGAAUGUAAACCAGAACCUUACUACUACGGACACACGUGUUUGAAAGAAAAGGUUCAUAUCCCGAUAGUCU
rnacentral:lncRNA from 1 species